GGCAACAGCCAUUUCACCCUGCAGCCCAAGAAGCUAAGCUGGACUGAGCCUGGUCAGUACCUGGAUGGGAGACCACAUGGGAAAACUAGGUUGCUGUUGGGA
rnacentral:rRNA from 1 species